GACUGGAGAAAGAGCCCUACUACCCUAGCUAAGCCGGCACAGCGGCGGCCGGCGAUACACGUGCGAGCGGCGGCGUGAGGAAAGGCGGGCGGGGUGAGAGAUACCUAACCACUAAGCGGCUGCGGCAGCGCCGCAGCAUAACCGGCACCAGGUCAAAAAACGACGACUGGGCAGGCACCGUAUGCAUAUCCUGAAUUUCAGCACCGCAUACACUUUCUACAGGGCCCUUGCCACACCAGACAAGCACAGACAAACACGCGAGCGGCAUGCCAUGUCAUCACCGGCAGCAAGGAGCAUCACUUGCUACUCCAAAAUUCCAGAGUUCUUGGUGGGCACUAAUGGGCAGCCAAUGCCCGCAGUGGGGCUCGGCACAGCAUCACACCCAUUUGUGGCGGAGGAUGUCAGGACAUCCGUGCUCACUGCGCUGGAGCUUGGCUACCGCCACAUCGACACUGCGGGACUCUACGCCUCUGAGCGAGUUGUCGGCGAGGCCAUGGCUGAGGCAGUGUCGUGCGGCCUUGUGGCGUCCAGGGACGAGCUGUUUGUGACAUCCAAGGUGUGGUGCACUCAAUGCCAUCCUGAGCUUGUGCUUCCGUCCCUCAAGGAGAGCUUGAAGAACCUUCAAAUGGAAUAUGUUGAUUUGUACCUGAUUCAUUGGCCCAUGGCUGUAAAGCCUAGCAAGCCUCACUUCCCAAUGAAAAGGGAGGACAUUGUGCCGAUGGACCUUAGUGGUGUAUGGCAGGCAAUGGAGGAAUGCCAUCGACUUGGCCUUGCUAAAAUGAUUGGUGUUAGCAAUUUCACAACAAAGAAAUUGCAGGAGCUGCUUGCCAUUGCAAAAAUUUCCCCAUUUGUAAAUCAGGUUGAAUUGAAUCCCACUUGGCAACAGAAAAAACUAAUUGAGUUCUGCAAUGACAAGGGUAUUCAUGUGACGGCUUAUUCUCCCCUAGGAGGCCAAAGAAUCUCUAAACUGAAUCCAGUACGACAAUCUGACAUAUUGGAAGAGAUUGGAAAGGCUAGAGGGAAGUCAGUGGCCCAGAUUUCACUGAGGUGGAUAUACGAGCAAGGUGCAAGCAUGGUGGCAAAGAGCUUGAAAAGGGAGAGGCUUAAGGAGAACAUUGAAAUCUUCGAUUGGGAAUUGAGUGACGAAGAUCGGUUUAAGAUUGGUCAGAUAGCACAGCGCAAGUUGGUCACAGUACAGAAUCUCCUGUGUCCUGAAGGUAUCUCCAGUGUGGAUAUCUUGGAUGUUGAUGUUAUUGAAAUAUAGCUGUGGUCUCCAUCUAUUUGCAAUGGGCAAAAGAAUUGGUGUACAACAUGUUGGAUACAUCAGAAGCAGUCUUUCACGUUUCUAUGUACUAAUGUUCAUCUUGCUAAAUUCACAUGUGCACCUUUCUAUUGUCACCAAUACUUUUGUACCAUUUUCUGGAUUAAUCUACUAUUAAAAAUGCAAAAAUAU